rnacentral:lncRNA from 1 species
CCAUGGAUGAAGAUCAAAUUGCUGCUAAUCUUGUGAAACAUGGCCCUCUUGCAGGUAGGAUAGUUUCUCAAAAUCUUUUAUUAAAGCUACAAUUGCUAGAAGGCGUCUUUACAUUAUAUUUUAAUUUCACAACUAGGAAAGAUAAAGGAGAGAGAAAGAGAGAGAGAGAGAGAGAGAACCUGCCUUCUGCUUGUGCUUGCUUUUCUAAAUUCCAGGACAAUUCUAUCAGAGGCAUUGGCAUUCUGAAUAGACAAUUGAAUUCAAACGGUCAACUUCAUUCUGGGCAUUGAUAGAUAGGAAAUCUGAAAAAUGAGUGGGUCAAAGUUGGCUAUGUGAAAUAUCUAAGGGAUGUCAUAUGGGAUAUGAAUUGCUCUGUAAUCUGUAUGUACUAGGCUGUAGAAAAUAUUAUCCAUUGUUGUUUCAUGUGGUAAGCGAAUGGUUCCUGAUCUCUGUGAUCACUUUGCAUGCAGUGGGUAUCAAUGCAGUCUUUAUGCAGACAUACAUUGGCGGUGUGUCAUGCCCAUACAUAUGUGGAAGGCAUUUGGAUCAUGGGGUGCUCCUGGUCGGUUAUGGCUCUGCUGCUUAUGCUCCUAUUCGAUUCAAGGAGAAGCCAUACUGGAUCAUAAAGAACUCUUGGGGCGAAAAGUGGGGUGAGAAUGGGUACUAUAAGAUCUGCAGGGGUCGCAAUGUCUGUGGGGUUGACUCCAUGGUCUCUACCGUUGCUGCUGUUCGCAGCUCAUAAGAUGCUUAGGCUCUUAUGCAACCAUCCAUAUUCCCUUUGCAAAUAGUGCAAUGCUUAUUGC